rnacentral:rRNA from 1 species
GAUGAACGCUAGCGGGAGGCCCAACACAUGCAAGCCGAGCGGUAUUUGUCUUUCGGGACAGAGAGAGCGGCGUACGGGUGCGGAACACGUGUGCAACCUGCCUUUAUCAAGAGGAUAGCCUUUCGAAAGGAAGAUUAAUACUCUAUAAUAUAUUGAUUGGCAUCAGUUAAUAUUGAAAGUUACGGCGGAUAAAGAUGGGCACGCGCAAGAUUAGCUAGUUGGUGAGGUAACGGCUCAACACGGCGAUGAUCUUUAGGGGGCCUGAGAGGGUGAUCCCCCACACUGGUACUGAGACACGGACCAGACUCCUACGGGAGGCAGCAGUGAGGAAUAUUGGUCAAUGGGUGCAAGCCUGAACCAGCCAUCCCGCGUGAAGGACGACUGCCCUAUGGGUUGUAAACUUCUUUUGUAUAGGGAUAAACCUCUCCUCGUGAGGAGAGCUGAAGGUACUAUACGAAUAAGCACCGGCUAACUCCGUGCCAGCCGCCGCAGUAA